rnacentral:rRNA from 1 species
CCUACGGGUGGCAGCAGUGAGGAAUAUUGGUCAAUGGCCGGAAGGCUGAACCAGCCAAGCCGCGUGAAGGAAGAAGGCGCUAAGGAUUGUAAACCUCUUUUGUCAGGGGGCAAAAAGAGUCACGUGUGACUCAUUGAGGGUACCCGAAGAAAAAGCAUCGGCUAACUCCGUGCCAGCAGCCGCGGUAAUACGGAGGAUGCGAGCGUUAUCCGGAUUUAUUGGGUUUAAAGGGUGCGCAGGCGGAGGUGCAAGUCAGCGGUAAAAUUGCGGGGCUCAACCCCGGCCUGCCGUUGAAACUGCAUGCCUUGAGAGCGCGAGAAGUAUGCGGAAUGCGUGGUGUAGCGGUGAAAUGCAUAGAUAUUGCGCAGAACUCCGAUUGCGAAGGCAGCAUACCGGCGGGGAACUGACGCUCAUGCACGAAAGCGUGGGUAUCGAACAGGAUUAGAUACCCCAGUAGUC